CUAAACUAGGAUUAGAUACCCUAUUAUUUUAGAAUGUUAAUUUUUAUGCUUGAGUAGUACUAGUUAUGUUCUUGAAACUUAAAGAAUUUGGCGGUAUCUUAUUCCGUUCAGAGGAAUCUGUCUCGUUAUCGAUAGUCCGCGUUGGACCUUACUUAGUUGCUAUGGUUUGUAUACCGCCGUUUAUUGAUUAUACUUUUAGGGUUUUUAAUUUUCUGGUUUCUUUGGUUUGGUUUAUUUCAGGUCAAGGUGCAGCUUGUUUCUAAGUGUUAUUGAUGGAUUACAUUGUUUUUUGUUGUUUGGAUUGCUGGUUGAGAUUAUUGGUAUGAAAUUGGAUUUGAUUGUAAUGUCUUGAAGAUUGUUUUCGUGAUAUUUGGUUCUAAGAUAUGUACACAUCGCCCGUCGCUCUCG
rnacentral:rRNA from 1 species